UACGUAGGGGGGCUAGCGUUGUCCGGAAUCAUUGGGCGUAAAGAGCGUGUAGGCGGCUUGGUAAGUCCGCUGUGAAAGUCCAGGGCUCAACCCUGGAAUGCCAGUGGAUACUGUCAAGCUAGAGUCCGGAAGAGGCGAGUGGAAUUCCUGGUGUAGCGGUGAAAUGCGCAGAUAUCAGGAGGAACACCGGUGGCGAAGGCGGGUCUCUGGGCCGGAUAUUGACGCUGGAGGAGCGAAAGCGUGGGGAGCAAACAGG
rnacentral:rRNA from 1 species